rnacentral:lncRNA from 1 species
GAAAAAAUGUCUUUGGGCUAGCUUCUUGCAGCUCUAUAAAUACAGAAUACAGGCUCCGGCAUUUUGCUUCAUCUUAGGUUAAGGAGAGAGUGUAAUCCAUCCAGAAAGGGGGUACCAGAGCUUGCUGUCCUCCUCUGAAUGUGCAAGGGACUGUCCCUACUGUCCACAGGAUGCUGGCAUUACAGCGCUGAAAGAAGAGGUGCUCUAGAGCAUGAGCAAUGAAGUUUGGGUCCUGCAGAAGUCCUUUGCUAAAACCCUCAGAGGAGAACGGAUUCCUUUGACCAGCCAGGGAAGGCACUGCACACAAUAGCUUGGAGGAAUAAUAGAAGGCUCAGAGAAGACGUCAAACUCUGGUAAGAUACUGGGAUGCAGAUGCAUUUGGGAAGGCUACAGCAAUUACAGUGCC